GGGAUCGCCCUCGAGUCGCGGGCGGGCACCAUCUCGGCCUUGAGUCUCAGCGAUCUCACCCUCCAGUCCAAGGGCGGGAUAAUGUUCGAGACGCCCAACAUCAUCGUCCGUGAUCUCAAGGUCUCGAACACCCCGAUAAACGACCCUCUCGAUGAUGUUUUCCAGGUGUGCGUGUGCAGCAACGGGCGUCUGUUCCUCGCCAAGCCCGGGGGCGUGUGUGCAGCAGACCAGAACUUCUGCAAGUAGUUCCUCCGGGCGGAUCGUCCUCGCGUUCGUCCUUUGCCACGUUGUUAUCUAUGUCGAUGGGCGUCUGGGAGCAAGGAAGAGAAUAAUUAUGCUAAAACAAGAGGAAGGCAUUUGCUGUUGAUCUUGUGAAUGUUUGAAUGUUUUUUUGUUUUUUUUUCUGUGCUUUAUCGUCUCUCUCUCUCAUCUCCUCUCUCGAUUUUUAGUUCUUCUUAUCUUUCUUCUACCAUUAUCACCUAUUCUGUUCAUCAGCGUCACUGGAGUUUCCUGGGGAGAGUGAACUUAAAACCUUUGCCUAUUUCUCCCCUAAAAACAAACAAACAAAUUAACAAACAAGGAAAAAACAAAGAAAAUGAAUAAAACAAGAGGAAUCAGUAAACUCUUUAUUAAGAAAAAUGUGUUUGUGUUUUAUCAUAUAUAUUUUUUUUCCGUGCGUUUUAUUUCUCUCUCUUAUGCGUGUGUGUGAAUGUAAACCUAAGCUAUUGUUCAUGUUUUAGUGUUUUAACGCGAGUGAAAAACCAAAAAACAAAAACAAAACGAAAAAACAAAAAACAAAAACAGCACUACCGGUCUGUACAAGAAAAGAAAAGAAAAAAACAAAAAACAAACAAAAAAAACAAAGGUAUAUUGUCUGUCAGCUGUGUCUUCAAAUGUGCUUUUUUAUGUUCGCCAAACAAAGAGUGCAAAUGGUGUGAAAGAGAGAGAAACUAAAAGAAUAAAUAAACAAGACAUUAACCAACGGAUAUUUACUCUACAAAAGGUCAGAUUUCUGUGCCUUGAGCCAUUGUCCUGUUCUGUUCUUAAACUCUUAGCUUUUCCUUUCUCUUACCCUUACAUCUUGUUCUUCUUCAUCAAGAGAUGCAAAAGAUAGCAAAAUACCAUAUACAUAUAUAUCACAUACGGGACUGUUUUUUAUGACUUUUCUAGUGUAAGAAUACGAUGUUUUAUUCUGCUUUUAUUUUUUUUAAAUUGAAAAAUGCUUAGCGACAAUCAUUGAAGGAACUGUUU